rnacentral:sRNA from 14 species
ACUGGUCUUUGGUCCAGGGUAUACGAGUAGCUGCGCUCCCCUGCUAGAACCUCCAAACAAGCUCUCAAGGUCCAUUGUAGGAACGUAGGGUAGUAAAGC